UACGUAGGGUGCAAGCGUUAAUCGGAAUUACUGGGCGUAAAGCGUGCGCAGGCGGUUUUGUAAGUCUGACGUGAAAUCCCCGGGCUCAACCUGGGAAUUGCGUUCGAUACUGGAUAGCUAGAGUUCGGCAGAGGGAAGCGGAAUUUCGGGUGUAGCGGUGAAAUGCGUAGAUAUCCGAAGGAACAUCAGUGGCGAAAGCGGCUUCCUGGACCAGAACUGACGAUCAGGCACGAAAGCGUGGGGAGCAAACAGG
rnacentral:rRNA from 1 species